rnacentral:rRNA from 1 species
CCUACGGGAGGCAGCAGUGGGGAAUAUUGCACAAUGGGCGCAAGCCUGAUGCAGCGACGCCGCGUGGGGGAUGAAGGCCUUCGGGUUGUAAACUCCUUUCAACCAUGACGAAGCGUAAGUGACGGUAGUGGUAUAAGAAGCACCGGCUAACUACGUGCCAGCAGCCGCGGUAAU